AAUUUUUAAAUUGGCGUAAUCUAGCACAUCACCAAUAUGUAUUGCAUUAGAAUUCUACCUUCACAAGGCAUCCUAUUCUUCAUUGCCAAACCUACCCACAAGAGAAUCAGCAGUCCUCGCCAAAACCAACCCACAAGAGAAUCUCAGCAGAUAUUCGUUCUCCCAAAUCUCUGGCCGUAUACAACAACCUCGCAGCCGCUUUGACCUCCGGUCUGCCGUGCUUCACCGCCGCUCUUAGUGUUUCGAAGGCCGUUUGAGGUCACCCGACAAGUUAAACACUUCGAAGAGAACCAUUCCGUUCGAUUUCUCAAAAAUCGUCGAAUGCUUAAUUAGUCGGGCAGAGAAGCUUGAAGGUGAUCUGUCAAGGUAAGGAUAUCCAUGUUUUGGUCAUGGAAGGAUAUAUGCAAAUAAGAUUGACACUAUUAUGGAUUAAAGAAGCAAUAUUUUGUUUGCCAAUGGAAUUUCAUAAUUUGCUCCGCACAUGGGUACGCCUAUGAUAUUAUAUUCAAAUUUCAGGAGAUUAUGUUUUGUCCCAAUAUCAAAGUCAUUGCUCAAUAUCUAAGAUUAUUAUAUAUAUAUAUAUUUUUCAAUAUAUAUAAUAUCAAAGUCUGAGCUUGUGGAUUGUGAAAGUUAGGCUUUAUAAAAUAUAAUGAUAUAGUAAUUGUUUUGCUGCCAUAUCAAUAUGUUUAUAUUUACUUGAUUAGAGUUACACUUAUAAUUAUUAUUAACAUUCCUUUUUGUUGUUAUUUGUUUAUUAUUAUUUAUUAUUUUCGGUGUUACAGAAUAAAUAUUUUUUUGCAGGAUUUUAAAAUUUAUUGUCACACCCCAAUCCUUGAAUGAAAAAAUAUAAUCGAGGUGCAACUAAUUCAUAGAAAUAAACAAGGGAAAAAUCUUGUUAAAACCGAAAUAGGAUAGAAAGUCGGGCUAUGCCCCUUUGGAUCACAAGUUUUGUUUCAUGCUUCUGACAACCGACAUUCAGUAACAUAAAUUUUCAAAAAAUCAUUUGUUGGAAUUAAAGUAAAUUCAUUUUCUUUUAUCCGGCGUGAAUCAUCUAAAAUUCUAAGUUCAAAAAAAAAUUACUCUAAAUUUAGCUAGGGAAAAGCGGGGCGUUACAUUUAUAUACACUAACUAUGAACAUGGAAGUUACAUUGCGCAAAACAAGCUCAUCUUCAGGUAUUUUCUAUAGCAUGUGCGCACAAGCUUCUAAGUAUUUAUAUUCUAUGUUAUAAUCACCACAUAUCACACAACAUGAGCACAAAUCAAAAUAUUUUUUUAAUUAAUAUAUUUAUAUUUAUAUAUUGCAGCUAAUGAGGUAUAUAGACAAAGAAAAAAUCUACAAAGACAAAAGAAAUGUAAACGAAAUGCAAGUGAUUUGAAUUGUAAGUAUUACAUUCUUUUAAGAUAAAAAUACGUUUAAUGCAUUAUGAUAAAUUAUUAAUGUUUUUUUAAUUAUAUUGUUUAUCUAUUUUGGUUCAUUGCUACAUGAAUUGAAAAAUGUGCCUGAUUGCAUUCAUUGUGGUGCAAGAAGAUUUGAAUAUGAACCUCGUACUUUUUGUUGUGAUAAUGAAAAAGUUAAACUUGCAUUUUCUGAAGUUCCUCCGGAGUUGGAUGAAUUGUUUACAGCCCAGUCAGAAGAAGCUAUUAAUUUCAGAAGGAAUAUUCGUGCUUAUAAUAGUAUAUUCUCAUUCACUUCGUUUGGUGUAAAAUUGGACAAAGAAUUGGCAUCUGCAAGACGGGGAGUUUAUUCUUUUCGAGCACAAGGCAUGGUUUAUCAUGAUCUUCCUGGAUUGAUCCCACAAUAUACGUACAUUUUUUCAGCUAUACUUUUAUGACACACAAAGUGAGUUUGAGAACUUAAUUAACAUAAUGCAAAAUCAAGUUUUGUCGGAAGCAGUAGUUGUACAGAUGCUCAUGAAAAUUUUAGAGAUCAACCCGUAUGCAAAAUUCUUUCGAAGAUUGAAAGAUCAAUGGACAAUGUUCAGCUUCAUAUUUCUAAAGAUGUCAACUUAGAUCAACGAGUAUAUAAUUCUCCACAUGCAUAUCAAGUUGCAGCUAUAUGGGUUGAGAGAAAUAAUGAAAAUAUUCCAUUGGAGCGGGAUAUUGUAGUUCAUGCUCAUUCCGACGACAGACAUAGAAUAAAACAUUAUUAUGGAUGUUAUGAUCCAUUGCAAUAUCGACUUCUUUUUCCAAUGGGCGAAACAGGUUGGCAUCAAAACAUUAGAAAGAUUGAUCCAGCAUCUUUGGUUCAUAAUACAAAUUCUGUUUCUACUUCUACUUCAUUAGCAAGAACCAUAACUGCAGGCGAUAUUAUCUCCAAUGAAGAACAAGGUAUCUCUAUUAACUUUUUAUAAAUUGAUUGAUGAUUAAAUUAGUUAAGUAUUAUUUUAUAUUUGUAUAAUGUUUGUGUAGCUCACUCUGACCCUGGGAAUGUUUUCACGGCGACGGCGUAUAACCGGCCGUGUUUACUUCUCUCCCGGUUUUGUGUCUUUUUGGCUUUUAGGCGACGGAGUCUUACCGGACUUUUGCCUUUGCGUUUUCCUUGGGGGAGAGCCGGGUUUGUUUGGGGACGAUGGUUAGGCCGGAGUUCUGGAAACUUUCCCUUCCGCUCUUCCCCUUUUUUUGUUUGGUCUUUUAGACGGGUACUCUUUUCCCUUUUUGCGGUUUUUCCCACUGGAUUUUCUGCAAAAAGGUUUUAAUGAGGCUCGGCCCUUAGUCUGCUUUUCCUGUGCUUUCAAGGGUUUUUUCUAGGUUUUUUCUUUUUCUUUUUUAAUAAAAAUCGCAGUUUAAUUUAAUA